rnacentral:lncRNA from 1 species
AAUUCACGAGAAGGAAGUUCUCAUGAAUUUUUCCUCAUGCAAAGUCCUCCUCACACCCUACUUUAAUGCACCAAAUGAGUGGAUAAGGAUAAUUAGUUGGCCAUUCAAAUUCAAAACAAAAGUUUGAAUUUGAAUGAGCAACCAAUUUUAGCGCCUUGACCUUAUCCUCUUUUAAUGCCCCAUUUAUUACACGAAAAAAUAUUUCUCAUGAAAUCACUCAUGCACAAAUUAAGCCAUGCCCUCCUCUUCUCAUGCCCUUAGUGGAUAGGGAUUAAUUGGUUUCCAUUUGAAUUCAAAAUUUGAUUUGAAUUCAAAUG